rnacentral:rRNA from 1 species
CGUGUAGGCGGGAGGGAAAGUCAGAUGUGAAAUCCCCAGGCUCAACCUGGGAACUGCAUUUGAAACUCCCCUUCUUGAGUACCGGAGAGGAAAGUGGAAUUCCUGGUGUAGAGGUGAAAUUCGUAGAUAUCAGGAGGAACACCAGUGGCGAAGGCGGCUUUCUGGACGGUAACUGACGCUGAGACGCGAAAGCGUGGGGAGAAACA